CUUUCUGGGCUGCUGGGGAAGCCUGCCAAGGCCACUGCCUGCCCUGCGCACCCCCUUCGGGCCCCAAUCCCCCUCCGGAAAGCCUCUGCUGCCCCCAAAAGUGGCAGUGCUGCCGCCCCGUUUUGCCCGCAUGUGGCACCGAGAGGCGCAGCUCAGCGCCGCCCUGGGCACUCAGCAGGCCAGCCUCCCCUUUGCCCCCAGCCUCCCCUGCAUGAAGGUAGGACCACCCAAAAGCAGCUGUGUAAUUAAAAGAAGAUGAGAAAAAAAAUCAUCAAACCAAUUCUGUGGGUAAUUGACCAAUUCCUUUAAAUAGGGUCUAUUAAUGAAGUUUACACUUUUGACAACCAGUCUGAUGCUUUUGCAGGAAAAUAUUCCUAGACACAAGACUUUUAUUCUUUAUUUUUUUAAGCCCUUUCAGUCUCCCAUCUCGAGGCUAAGUACAGUAAACUGUACAUUCCCACCAAGGCCAACACUCUCCCCAAGGCCGGAUUAUUUACUUCUGUGUAUCUGUGUCUCCCUUGUAUCUAUCUCUGAGCUGGCUCCCUGCCUGUUACGUUACAUGUGGGGAAACGCGUGUGGGGUUCCUCUUUGUCUAAUGUCUUCAAACUGUUCCUGCGCAUGCCUGACAAAUCUGCCCCAUUGUCAAAAUUUAUCUUUUCCCCCACCUCCAGUCUCCGUUGUUGUGUGUCCUGGCUGAGGGGAAAAACAGAAGACAGAUGGCCAUCGAUCAGGGAUGGUCUAGUUGAGAUUCCUGCAUUGCCCCAGGGGUUUGGCUAGAUGACCCUCAGAGGUCCCUUCCAACUCUACAAUUCUCUGGUGCAGGCUUGUGCAGAGUUUUAGGUACAAGUUGGAUGCAAGGGGUGCAUAGGAUUGCUGCCCAUCUUAUGCACCAUCAGCUCAGGAAUAAAUCCUGAUGAGACUAGAUUGCUGCUGUGCAGUCCUCUUUUUUAAAUAAAUGUUUUCCUUUUCAGAUAAUACAGAGCAUGGUGAAAUCACAAUAAAUAAAACAUCCCCUUCAGUAGUUUCAAGCACUACUAUAGGUUCCACAUAAUAUCUGUACUGCGUUGUUUACUGUGACAGCACUUGCACUUUGGAACUCCCUGCCUAUUGCAACAAGCAGGUGCCUUUGCUAGACUCUUUUCGGGCAUCUGCUAAAAGCAUUCUUCUUUAGGCAAGUGUACCUAGAUGCUUAGGAAGUUGAAGUAAUUUUAAUCUUAAUAUUUUAGCUUUUGUAUGUUUUAAAGUAGGAUUGUUAAUUUCUUUUUUUUUUAUAAUUGAUAUUUAUUGAAUUUUCAAAAAAUAACAACAAAAAUUUCCAAAAAAAAUUUAAGGAUACAAAAAACAAAAAUAGUACAUAAACAAAAAAGAAAAGAAAACCCAGCCGCAAAGAAAAAAAAAAGAGAAACAGAAAAACAAAAAUAUAAAGUCCUUUACAAUCUCUAUUGACUUCCUUUCUAGACUUCCUCCUCCUCCCCUCUUUUUGUUUCUUAAUUUUUAAUUUUUACAGCAAAUCCUUUCUGUUUUUUCAUAACAAUCUGUCAUUACGUUUCCUUAUUCUAUUUUCCCUCUUGUCAUAUAAAAACUUUAAAACUCAUAGCUUAUAUUCAAUAUUUACCAAAUUCUUGCAUCAUUACCUUUUACGAAUCAUUUACCAAUCCUUACUUAAGCCAUGUAAUUUCAUUCAACAUCCUUCAAACAUUUGUAAGCAUUCCCAAUAUUAAAAAUAAAAAGAAAAAAAUAAUAAGUCAAAUUCAGUCCAGUCAGCUUCCAACCUCCCCUCCCUGGACCCGGGAUUGUCAGUCCUUUUAACCUCGAUAAUCCGGCUCCUUAACCUGGUUGUCUCGUAUCCGAGGCCCUCAAGUCUCUUUCUUGCCCCUUUCGCCACUCUUGUUGAUGAUUCCUUUCCAGUCGUGGAUGCUCCAGCAAGAAAAUGCUUUUGACCCUUUGCAGCAAGUCCAUCCCAAACCCAUUGCCCAAGCCAGACAGCAAAUAAUACCACUUCAAAUUUCCACAAAGCUUGGAGACUUCGGCUACUCCAAUCCUCUGAUAGCCCAUCACCAGACUCGGAAGGUCCAAAUAACCAUAUGGAGGGGGUCGAUCCAUCCCCCAUUUCCAAAUCUGACCACAUUUCAUCUUUCCGAAUCUGGUUUGUCCUAAGUUCAUUUAUCAAGUUCAAAGGCUGAUCUUGCCCGUCCAAAGGUCCCUCCAUCUCUGAAGCCUCCGUCACUACAGCAGGUUCAUAUGCUUGUAUAGCCUUUAACUGAAUUUCAUUUGUUUGCUGCUGUGCUCUGGUAACUUCCAUCAUCAAGGUCGUCUCCUGACGCAUCUGGUCCAGCUGGGCACUUAGUUUUGAAAACCUUCCAGGAACAAUUGUUCAAGCCUUUGUACUAGCAUUGUCCUUCAAGGUCAAAGAAAAUUCUUUCCCACGAGAAUAGUCCAAUAGUCCUUCUCUUUUAAUCUCUCUGCGUUGCAAUUUCACUAAAUUCCACUAGAUGGAAUUUUUUUUUUUUUAAAGGAAUAAAAGCAACAGCAACAAUCUUUCUUUUUCCAGAAACACCUUAACCAAAAGGCCCCCUUCCAACUACCAGAGGCCACAGUAGAAUCAAAAUGUUACCCUUCUUUUAACUAACUGUCGAGCUGGAUAAACUUCAGAACGUCAAUUCUGACAGCCCGCUCCUGGUUCAGGGCGGUGGAAAAUUGCUUUAUUUUAAACUCACUUCCGCAGGAUUGAAAAGUCCAAAUACAACCCCCUUCUUCUCCUGCAGUCAAAGGGGGUUCAGAAAUCUUAGAUGUUGAAUUCUAGUUCUCUUAGAAUUUAAUUUUCAAGCUUUAGUAUAUUUUGUCUUUGCUUUCUUCACAUAACAAAAGAACGGAAGGCGACUUCCUGUUUAGACCUUCCCAUUCCGAGUCCCAAUUAAGUUCAAUUUCAAGUCCAAUAUUAUUUGUUUAUUCACCAGUCUUAAAAGUGGUUCAACUCUUCCAAGAUCAGGUACUCACGGAUAGAUAUUUUAGAUGCCAAAUUGUCCAGGAAAAAGGCAGCGCUCUCCGAUAACGGCAGUGCGGCUUUGCUGCACGGAGGAAGCAGACUACUCACAGCACCACGCACCUCCCACUCCGGAGCCCGUUACCGGGCUCCUGCACAAGGGAGAGAGCGCCUCGGUGCCCGCCGAGUCCCACGUCCACAGGCUUCUUCCGCCUGUGGUUUUUGCGGGUCCCCGCUGCGCCGUAGCGGCAGGACCCAAGCCUCCGUGCAGCGGGUUCCCUUCAGUCCGAAGGGAAUUCCGCCAUUUUCCGGAGGCGCCACCCCGGAAGUCAGGAUUGUUAAUUUCUUACUGCUGUGGGUUUUUUUGUUUUCUGUUUUGGUAAACCACUUUGCAGGUUUUUUAAAAUAAAUUUUAUUAAAUAAAUAAACAAUAAAUAUAAAUAAAAUAACACAAGCCAAAACACAAGCCAUCCUGUAGAUUUCAGUAUAUGUCCACAGUCGCCUACUUGUUAUCAGAGGCCCAGAAUCCGCAUUCCUUUGUAAGAAAAUACGAAAUAAAGUAAAACCAUUUUUGCAGGAUUUUUUUUUAAAAAAAAUCAAUGUGGGGGGUGACAAGAAAUUUUCUGCACCAAGUACCACCUGACCUUCCUAUGCCUCUGCGUGAAUCCCCUCCUUUUGAAAAUGUUGAUAGCUCUAUGAUAGUUUUUGUUAUGUAAAUGGGGCUACAGACACCUUGGGUGGGUUACGCAAAGCCUCUGGGAUUCCCAGACAAACAAUUGGGAACCACUGCUAUAAGGUUUUAACUGGCUGCAGGGUUUGUAAGGCUUCAGCUGGUUUUAAGUUGGCUUAUUACGCUGUUUUGAUUAGGCUGUUUAUUAUAGCUGGUUUUAUUAUCUUUAUGUUUGCAUUGUAUAAGAUACUCAUGUUAUUGUGUGUACUUAGUUUCUUACUGCUCCAUAUUUUAAUAGUACAUGGAGGCUGCUUUCGGAGGCAGAUACCAUAAAAGACAAUCUACACAUCUUUAGAAAUUAGAAGGCGGGGAGGGGGGAGAAAAGGAGGCCCUUCCAGCAGCUAUGGUCCUUGCAGCCAAAUAGUCAUAGAAAGAAAUUAGAAAUGAGAGAAAUCAGUUGACAUCUUGCAAUGGGAUAAAGGCAUAGGGGGCAUAACAUCAUUGACAGUAUGCACAUAUUUUAUAAAUAUAUAUAGAAGAAAGUGCACCAAACAAAUUUAUUGGAAAAACGAAGUCUAUUUGUCUUGGAAUUUUACAUUCCAACAAUGAACAAUGUUCAACUGUACAUAUUAUUUUCAUUCAUGUAAACUGACAUUCUGCUUAAAAUAUCAUAGUAUCCGGAGAUAUCUACACUCUUUAAACCAUGAUUUCAUUUUGUAUAUGGAUACAUCAUGAUAUUUUGAUAGUUAUAUGAAUGUUGCCUAUAUAAAUGAAACAUUUAUUUUGCAAUUUUUUUCUUAAUAGAGGGGAGAAAGGAAGAGGAGAUUAUAAUAUUAGGUUUGGCCAUUGACCAUACAGCAAUAUCAAUAAUGGCAGCCUCCCUUCCUCUGAACUCUUUCCCUUCAUCUCAUUCCAAGGGAAUCUGUUCAACUACUAUUUGUAGAUGAAAACAUCCUGUAACCGUCAAAAAAAGAAGCAGGAUGUCUUUGGAACACCCCCCACCCCAACUGUGAUGCCAUGGCCAAAGAAUAUUCUAACUCAGGGUCAACAGAAAGAUACUGGAAUUAGUGGGGUUUUAAUGACUGUGUUCUCAUCUGAAAGGCAGGGAGAUGAAUACUUUCUCCAGCAAUUUCCUCUUGCAGUCGUGCUUUGAGGAAGCACCCUCCAGUCAUAAAUUCUGAGCAGUGCAGGACCUUCUGUCUCCCUUAUGAAAAGCUAAUAUAAUUGAUGAGAUCUGGCUGGAUUAUGCACUUCUGUGACAGGCAAUCUGCAUUUAUUUUCUCACUUGUUAUGACAUUAGUGGCAUUCUCGGGAGUCAGGAGUUCACAUCUGGCUCACAUUUAUUAUGGGGUUCACCUUGAGUAUUUUGCCAUAUAAGGGCUUUUAUUUUUUGGUCGGGUUUCACAAUUGAGGCAGCAGGCUGUAGAAUACAUGCCCACCAUGGACUGUGUCUUAGGAUUUGUUAAACGCACUGCAUAUUCAUUCAAAACAUUGAUUUUUCAAGCUAUGUCCUGUGGAAGCCUUGGGUUGUUUUGGAAUCCAGCAUGGAUUGUCCAUAAGAAAAUUAGUGCUGUGGCAAAAAAAUAAAAAUCCCGUGUUGUUGUUCCUCACCCAGCCGCUUUCUAUCAAUUAAUGACAAAGAAAUCGCAUAUAACAUUUACCUAUGGGGAAAUGGAAUUUCGUUUCUUUUGUUGUUGCCACACUUUCCAUACUGUUAUAAACACAACUAGAAUAUAAUAAAUAACAACAAUAGCAGCUAGUCUGUCAUUAAUGGGAAAAGCUGUAUCACCAGCUUAAGGGCUGGAACCACUACUUAGAACCAGUUUAUAGUUCAUAUUAAAGACUCUAAUCUAAUAGGUCUCUCCAGAUGUUUCCAUGGGUCUAGGGAGGUUGUCUCAAUUCAUUAGCGCAUCUCAUAUGGAAGGUAAAUAGAUGCUGGGUGUUGUAGAAGUAUAAAGGACUCAUCUUGCCUCUGGUCUGACAGGUCAGUUUCUCAACCAGAGCAACAGACCACACCUGAGCAUACCAUGAGUCUACUGACAGGCCUGUUGCAGGAUGCUAUAUUAUCAUUAUCAUCAUCAUCAUCUUCUUCUUCUUCUUCUUCUUCUUCUUCUUCUUCUUCUUAUUGGGUUUUAUAAACGGGGAUCAUAGGAAUAAUAAGUGAUAGAAAUAAAGAAGGCCAAGUCUUCUAAUGUCAUUUGUAUAUCACAAAUUUGGAGUAAUAUCUACAACAUAUGGUUCUUUAUUAGUGGUCAGUGUACAAAUUCUAGGUUCAUGGCGUGGUUUAAAUAAAAGCAAUAACGAAGGGGAAACAGGGUAGAGUUAAUAGAUAACAUUCAACAUCACAUAAAUGCGUAAUCAAGAGCCUUUGUGGUUGUACUUAGAACACCCCUGGUUCCUCCCCCCCCCCCCGUCCCACUUGUUGUUGUUGUUUAGUCAUUUAGUCGUGUCCAACUCCUCAUGACCCCAUGGACCAGACCACGCCAGGCACUCCUGUCUUCCACUGCCUCCCGCAGUUUGGUCAGACUCAUGUUGGUACCUUUGAGAACACUGUCCAACCAUCUCGUCCUAUGUCGUCCCCUUCUCCUUGUGCCCUCAAUAUUUCCCAACAUCAGGGUUUUCUCUUCUCAUGAGGUGACCACAAGUAUUGGAGCCUCAGCUUCACGAUCUGUCCUUCCAGUGAGCACUCAGGGCUGAUUUCCUUAAGAAUGGAUAGGUUUGAUCUUCUUGCAGUCCAUGGGACUCGCAAGAGUCUCCUCCAGCACCAUAAUUCAAAAGCAUCAAUUCUUUGGCGAUCAGCCUUCUUUAUGGUGUACUUAGAAUAAGUAUGAGUAAUAGUAAUUUUUCCUCUUAUGUUGCCAAUGAGACUAUACUGAUGAGCGUGGGAGGGGUGGUUCAAAGUGAAGACAGUAAUUUAAAUUUAAAUUUAGAUCAACCAGAUUGAGCCAAAUGCUAUUGCAGGGAUUGUUCAUUUUCUGGAAAACUGGCAUAUAUGUGAAAUUAAGACACACCAAGGUAAAGCCAUCUUUCUUGAACUAUGUGUCAGCCAUUGCCUGUUUGUCAAUCUCUCAAGGAGAGCUGUUUCCCAAACUGUUUUGUACCAGUUGUCAAUUGUUGUGCCAGAAAGGUCUUUCCAGUGUCUGGUUAUGUUGUGUCACGUCUCUUGUAAUAAGGCCUUAUUAAUUAUUUAUUAUGUAAAUCCAGGUAGUGGAGACUGUUGUGUCUUUAAGAAAUAUGGUUUAUUUUUUACAUAUUUAUACCAGAAGCUUUCAAUGGAGGGAGUACAGAGUUGACAGCAUUCAACAUCUCAAGAGGGGCUGUUCCCCACAGCAGUGAAGCAUCAGAUUCCAAGACACCUCCAUGUUUUUGACCCAGCCUGCCUUCAGCCAGCCCACCAAGAUUGUUCUGACCUUCAGCCCCCUCAUGACGUUCUACCUGUUUCCUGCUUCUCCUUCCCAACAAACCCCUUGCCAAACAACUCAUCCCCUUCUUUCUGCUAUUCCAAAACUAGCUUUAAAAGGUGACAAUUUUCCUGUGUGACACCAUGCCCAAAUUGCCCUGGCAACUUUCCCCUCAGUUACCUGUAGGCUCUUUUGUCUUGUAGAUGGCUUAGUGGCAGGGCCAUCAUUUCCCUCUGCCCCUCUGUUUGGAAGAAAACCAAUCUCAGCCUCUCAUUUCUGCUUAAACCCCAGCAUCCAAGAAUCUGGAGAGGAAAUCUGGCACCCAAGGAUCUAGGAUCCAUCCCCCCCUCCAACCCAUAACAGUGUAUAUCUGGCUUCCACCUUCAAAACUACAAACCACAGAAUCCUGGAAUUGUGACAGUCCUAACUGGGAGUGAGUGGAGAGGAAAUGAAUGGUUUAUUUGAUUCGGACCAUAUCUGUUCAACAAGCAACAGCUGGAGUGGAGCAGAAGUUAAAAAUAGCAAUUGAGCACUUUCCAGGGAGAGAGGGAGG
rnacentral:lncRNA from 1 species